GGAAACCGAAGAAAAGACAAGUUUGCUAGAAAAGCUUCACUUUGUUGCGCGCAUGUGAUCCUAAAUAUCAUGAGCAUGCAUAUGGGUUGACUCUAUGUAUAAGUCAUUCCAAGAAACUUGGAGUUUUACCAAAUUAGGGCAUGUUCAAUAGUUUAAGCAACUGUUGUCUAUAAGUCACAUAGAGACAACAAUACAGACAAAUUAUACCAUGAGUUGUCUGUUAGGCUAUCUGCA
rnacentral:lncRNA from 1 species